rnacentral:tRNA from 1 species
GGCUCCGGAUAGCCUUAUGGUCAAGGUGUUUGACUCACAAUCAAUCAACCCGGGUUCGAGUCCCCAGGGGCUC